AUUAAGUAGGUACAUUGAAGAGUGUUCGCUGGUGCGUUGAUUUAAAAUACGACAGCAUGUUGAAGAAUAUAGGUAAUUACCGUGUUACCCAAUAACAUCGAAUUUAUUUUAAUACCAGCUUUGAGAAACAUUAUUAUUGAACAUAACGUAUAUUAUUUACAUGACAAUGACUUCACCGUGCGAAAGUUUGAGCGACUUACGGACCCUCUUAUAAAAAUCACAUGAUUACCGUGUACAAUAAUUCAAAUUCAGUUACGUCUAUUGCGCAGUUCCCACCAGGCGAGAUUUCUCCCCUAAGCAAGUACGUACAGGUAAACAUAGAUAGAAGGAAAGACGAUCGAGGGGUCGAAAUCAAUGCGCAUAAAGAAAAGGGAGGCAUUGUGUGCGUAUACGCAAGGAACGGCGAGUACACGUGCGCGCGCGCUCCCACGGUCACUCGGGAGCGGGGUGGGACUCGGGACCCAUAUAUAAGGGUGCUGGGCUCACCUACAAAUCACUUCACAAUUGGCACAGAUACAGUCAUCGUCUCCGGGGUCCCCUUGGACCCCGGGAGAAGUGUUCAGUAGCGCCGAACCGUGUUUAUGUAUCGGAAAGUUUACCAAGUGGAAGUAUUAUUUCAAAAAUUAACCGAAACAGUAACAACAGUUGAGUGGAGUUUUAACAAGUUCUGAAGGUGUAUAAGCAGUUCAUGGAAUUCAAAAUGAUAUUGAAACAGUUGGAAAACCUUCCAAUAAAUUUGAGGAAUUUCUUUUGUGUUUCCCGAUGUUGCCGGUUGACGGUUCCAGCAUACCUACAAUUGAAACGAGAAACACAUUUUCCAUCACUACCUUUAUCGACCAACACUUUGAGGACGCAUUCAGACAUUAAAAGCGAUGGAAAAGUCUCCAAAGAAUUUGACGAAUUUCCUUUGUGGUUCCCGAUCCCGAUGUUGCCGGUUGACAUCGGAUUUCAACAUACGAGUACUUAGCAUCGAAACGAGAAACACAUUUUCGAUCAUCGCCUUCAUCGACCAACACUUUCUGGACGCAUUCAGGUGAAUUAAAGUGUUUUUAUCCAAAAAAAAUCUCCGUAGUUUUAUAGACAUGUAAUUAGGAUAGAUUAGCAGGUUACUCUAGUUAGGUUCCUUAGGUUAGCUUGUUUGAAAAUAGAUUUAUAACUUUUCAAGUUCUUAGAUUAGGUAUACCGAGUUAGUUCAUACCUACAUAUUUCUGUAAAAGUUAUUCAUGAUAUAACUUGGUACGCGGAAAAGUUCGAAAGAACAUCUCAAUUCAAAAGAUAAAUUUGACAUGCCUUAAUGUUCGGUGCACAUUGUUGUGUUUGCAAGUUACUUUCCCUGUUAUCGUUCUUCUUGUUAGUUCUUGACUUCUUAAUGCAUUGAUGUUACCAUUGUUACUUUGUGUUGCAUUUUAGUGUUUUCAUCAUUGAGACUGUUAACAAAAAUUCCAUCAUUAAUAACAUAAUGAUUUAAUUCUUUGGCAUUGUUUUUGAUAAGUUUUAAAACUCAUUAAGUUUGAUAAAAAUCAUCAUCGUUAAAUUUACUGUUUAAAAAAAGAGUAACGCGUUUUACGUGCUACGCAACGUUUAGAAUUCUCAAGUUGUUAAUUCCGUAGGUACUGUUACUUGUUACUGUUCUCUGUUGUUAGUUGUUAUUGUUAUUUUUUGUUCCAAUGAUUGUUUACAUGUGUAACAAAGUUUGAUGUUGAAAAUCAGUUAAUUAACGUGUUGAGUUACCAUUGAUGAAACUUGUAACCCUCAUCAAAUGCACUGAGCAAUUACAAGCCUUCUGUCAUUACAUCAGCUGCUCCAAAGUUAUUUUAAAUUAAGAACCUUAGGUAACUUGUUAAUCGUUAUUGUUCAUGUUUUCUUAAUUUGUUGAUUUUUUGUUUAUUUUUGCAUUUUGUGGUAGCCAGCUGGUCUGACUACACUUUGUUUCGUUUUAACUACUCCACUGUUCUCGUUUUGUUCUUUACCGUUACUUGUUAUAAUGGCUGUUUUUGUUUUUAAUUUAUUGUGUAAUGGGUUAAAGUUCUUGUUCUCAAUAGUUGAUUUUUUGUUUUGUUCUUUAACGUCCCAAAUUCACGUACCAAAAUUGCCUUAACCAACUUACUGUUAAUCAAAUCCAUAGUUCAGUUUAUCUGGCAUCGUUUAAAAGUUGAAUUUUUGUUUCAUUGUUAGCUUAUCAUAAAAGUGUUAAGUUUUUGUUAAUGCCGUAAUUUGUUUGUUGAUUUCACUGUUAGCCGAAAGUUGAGUUUUUGUUUUGUGUUUCAAACUGAACUUUCAUACCGAUAGCCCAUAAACCUCCGUAACAGCUAUCGUUCCGAAAAAAAUAUACCACUUUGUAUCUUUCACUCCAAUAUCUCUAAAUGAUUAUUUGCUUUAAGUUCAGUACAGUUCUAUUUCACAUAUAAUACAAUCAUAAUGUUUAAUAUACUACGCUGAUAUUGUAUUUGUUAUUAUUUGUUUGAAACAAUCACGAUGUGCCUUAAAUCAAGUGCCUGUUGUUGUUUCACCUUAUUUGUAAGAUUGUCUUAAUUUCUCCUGCCAAUGUUUUUCCUUAUACGAAAAACGUUUUCGGGACAAAUUCUUGUUGAUAUGUAGGUAUAAAUAAACUUUUUUGUGCUAAUCUACUUAGCUUUCGCUGAAGUAGGUUAGAACAUUGACCAACUAUUUGCAAUUUGUUAAAGACAUACGGCUUGCAAUGUCAUAUUCUGAGGCCUCCUAUAUAGACCAAAUGUGUAUCAGAGACGCUCGAUAAUAAUAUCGUAGACGUAUGAUUUUAUCAAUUACCAAAUAUUUGGCUUUAAAUGUACCUUGUUUCAAAAGCCUAACGAUGUUUUUAUCCUCUAUCACAGCUUUAAAAUUUUCAAUAGAAGUACGAAUUUUGAUCGUUUGUGCGUUACAGAUAUUACCAGGAAAAGCUAACCGUUUUUCCGGUUGUAUCUCGGUCCGUAUCUACAACAUGUAAAUACGGUAGCAUCCACAUAUAACCCUUGAAACAGAAUGGUAACAUACAAAGGCAUUGUUCGCGGGGAUAAAAUAAUCGUUACGUAUUCAAAUUGUUACUAUUGUUUACGUUAAGCCGUUGUUAAUAUCGUUAAAGUUAACUAGUUUUAAGCGUUGAAUUGUUGUUAAGUUUGAUUGUGAUAUUAUUGUUAAAAUUUCAUGUGGCUGUGUAUGUUAAUUUUAUGUUAAGUUUUCGUUUUAACUGUUCAUUUGUUCGCCGCCGGCAUUAAGGCUGAAACUAAAAGCUGUAAAACCAAAACAUUGUUAUUUAACUUUAAUUUAAGUCUCUUAUAAGUGUUUUGUAUACUAAUUAGGUUAAAACUGAAGCUUGGAAUAAAAUUAACAACUAGUUAAGUGAGUGUCAGAUAAUAUAAGGAUAAUUUAUUAGAGACGAAUGGGAGAAAUCGUGUUUGUGAAUUGUGUGAAAUAAAAAGAGAAAACACUC